GGCCCCGUGGCUCAACUGGAUAGAGCAGCCCCCUCCUAAGGGGCAGGUUGCGUGUUCGAAUCACGCCGGGGUCACCA
rnacentral:tRNA from 1 species